GACAGAGGCCCCAAGCGUUAGGCGGAAUCACUGGGCUUAAAGCGUGUGUAGGCGGACGCCUAAGUGUCUUGUGAAAUCCCACGGCUCACCCGUGGAACUGCUGGGCAUACUGGGCGUCUUGGGCCAACUAGGGGCAGCCGGAACAAGCGGUGGAGCGGUGAAAUGCGUAGAGAUCGGGAAGAACACCAGUGGCGAAAGCGCUCUGCUGGACUGCAACUGACACUGAGGGACGAAAGCUAGGGGAGCGAAAGGG
rnacentral:rRNA from 1 species